UGGUGCAUAGAUGUGUAUGAUUUGGAGAAAAAGUGUGGUGUGACUUUGUGCAUUUUAAGUAUUUGCUCUGCAUUACUGUUCCAUGUUUGCAAGAGUAAACUGGGAGUAUUUUCAAGUGAAUACUUGUGCAAGUAUAUCAGAGGUGUGCUUCUCACUGCUGCUGGAAAGAUGAGCUGUGUUUGCCUGCCUCAUCUGGAGAAGCUCAGCACUAAAAUUCAUUUCAUCAAACAUUCCUCUCUUCCCGACUGUGGAAGAAUCUCUUUUGAAGUCAACAUAAACUAUACAUCAAAACUCUUCAGUGGAGAGACUCAAUCAGCAGUCAGAGGCAAUUAAUUGAUUUCAGAAAGUGCACAAAAGCGCUGGCAUACCCAAUCUGAGUAGUUCUGUGCAACAGGAUGAUGUUUUUGAAAUUCUGCUGAAGCUGAGUCCAGGCCUGAGGUCUUCAGAUUUCAUCAGCUGUUUGGAAAUUAACUGGUUGAAAAUCUUGAAAUCUUGUCUAGGGCAAGCUGUUGAAAUGAUCCUAGGUGAGGGAUGCUCAGGUACAUCAAAGAGGGACUUUGAUUUGCAAGAAGACUUUAAAACAUGAAUGCAUUUGGUAGUGUCCAUGGUAUCUCUGACUCUAGCCCUUCAAACCAAGUGAUAAACAUAAAAUGGUAAAAGUGGGAGAGAAGCUUAAAAAUCCUUUUUCUGUGGUGAUUAUUGCUAUGCUUUGGAUCCAGCUCUGCUCUUACCACUUCACAGUUGCACUGUAAGUCACUGUUGUCAUUUU